rnacentral:rRNA from 1 species
UACGGAGGAUGCGAGCGUUACCCGGAUUUAUUGGGUGUAAAGGGUGCGUAGGCGGUUUAAUAAGUCUGUGGUAUAAGCCCGAAGCUUAACUUCGGUUCGCCACAGAAACUGUUUAACUUGAGUAUGGUAGAGGCAAGUGGAAUUUCUAGUGUAGCGGUUAAAUGCGUAGAUAUUAGAAGGAACACCAGUGGCGAAGGCGACUUGCUGGACCAUUACUGACGCUGAGGCACGAAAGCGUGGGGGGCAAAUA